CCCUUAGAUGUUCUGGGCCGCACGCGCGCUACACUGAUGCAUUCAACGAGUUUCUUCCUGGUCCGAGAGGAAUGGGUAACCUUUUGAAAGUGCAUCGUGAUAGGGAUAGACUAUUGCAAUUAUUGGUCUUCAACGAGGAUUUCCUAGUAGACGUAGUUCAUCAGACUGCAUCGAUUACGUCCCUGCCCUUUGUACACACCGCCCGUCGCUCCUACCGAUUGAAUGCUCAGGUGAGCCAUUCGGACUUUCAUCAUGCUGGUUUCCAGUUUUGAUGAAGGAAAGUCUUGCGAACCUUAUCAUUUAGAGGAAGGAGAAGUCGUAACA
rnacentral:rRNA from 1 species